rnacentral:rRNA from 1 species
UUUUUACGGGAGGCAGCAGUGGGGGAUAUUGCACAAUGGAGGAAACUCUGAUGCAGCGACGCCGCGUGAGUGAAGAAGUAUUUCGGUAUGUAAAGCUCUAUCAGCAGGGAAGAAAGGCUCGCAAGAGAGAUGACGGUACCUGAGUAAGAAGCUCCGGCUAAAUACGUGCCAGCAGCCGCGGUAAUAAAA